UUUGUAAAUAGCCGCAGUAUCUUGACUGUGCUAAGGUAGCAUAAUCAUUAGUCUUUUAAUUGGAGGCUGGUAUGAACGGUGAGACGAGAAAAAAGCUGUCUCUGGGAUAAAGGUCUUGAAUUUUAUUUUUGAGUGAAAAAGCUUAAAUGAAUUUGGGGGACGAUCAGACCCUUUGGAGCUUUAUUUAUUUUUUACUUACGAUAUUUUUAAAUAUAAAAGGCAGGAAGUAAAUUUUGUUGGGGCGACAGGGAGUUAAAAAUAUCACUCUUUUUUAUAAACACUUCUCAGUGGAUAAUUGAUCCUUAGUGAAAGAUUAAAAGAUUAAGUUACCCUAGGGAUAACAGCGUAAUCUUUUUGGAGAGUUCAAAUCGAUAAAAAGGUUUGCGACCUCGAUGUUGGAUUAAGAAAUUAGCAAGGUGCAGAAGUUUUGCUGGAGAGUCUGUUCGACUUUUAAUUUCUUACA
rnacentral:rRNA from 1 species